rnacentral:lncRNA from 1 species
GGAAGGGCGGGUUCGUCCUAGCCUGGGACUAACAUAAUCACAUAAAGCUGUUGCUUUGGAACAGACCGAACUGCCCCAGAGUCAAUUUCCCUGAAAGCAACGCAGAGCAGAGCUUCCUGGGAGAAGACACAAUACUGUCUAUUGUCUCUGUCACUUCCUCUGCACCCUCCCAGCGUUGAAGCAUAUAGUUGGGAGCCACAGCCCUUUGCAAAAGCUGUUUGCUGAGGCCCAGCCGCGGUUUUCUGAAAACCCCCGUGAGAAGCAGUUUUUCUCCGCAGUCAUUGUUUCCAGACCGGCCAAGCCGGCUGGGGAGGAGAAGCCAGACCCAGGGAGACUGUCUUCCAGGCUCUGGGAAGAGGCCGGGCUUGCGACACAGGACCCUGUUUGCUCAUGGCGUCUCAGGGUCUCUAGACGCAGCCCCGCAUCUGGGCAGAGGCCAGGCCGGUGCCAGGCCCAGGAAGAGGCUCCCAUGGGGCCGGGACCUAUGUGAGGGCAGAGCAGGGAUUAUCUAGGAGGUCCUCAAAAUGUUGCUGGG